CCCCUUCACCCGCGGUCCGCGCGCGCCUAUAUUCGCCUUGUCCCUUCGGGGACUAUGGCGAUAAACGCGCACGUAAUAAGCGGAUCGGACCCGGGGGCGGUACCCGGCGGCUCCACCAGAAUCCCUCUCCACCCGUUCGUUGGCGGGCGGACGCAAGAGGCAGAAGGGGGCCGAAACAGGAUCGACGGACGUGUAAAGGUGUUGCUUUCGCCCGGCAGGAUGCCACCGUUAUCGGCUCAAAACGCAUAGUUGCCAACGACAACCGUGCUCCGGUGGCCGUCGCUGCGUAAUGCAGCGACCAAACCGAAACCGAAGUCCUGAGGCUUAGCCGCUUCAGGCGGGGUCCGCAGGCGCCUGGCAACAGAAGCCUGCACU
rfam:Pleomorphobacterium xiamenense strain CGMCC 1.10808 genome assembly, contig: Ga0079883_108